GACAGAGGGUGCAAACGUUGUUCGGAAUUACUGGGCGUAAAGCGCGUGUAGGCGGCCCUGCAAGUCGGGUGUGAAAUCCCAUGGCUCAACUAUGGAAGUGCACUCGAAACUGACAGGGCUGAGAGUCCUGGAGAGGAAGGUGGAAUGCUUGGUGUAGAGGUGAAAUUCGUAGAUGAUCAAGCGGAACACCGGUGGCGAAGGCGGCCUCUGGACAGUGACUGACGCUGAGACGCGAAAGCGUGGGGAGCAAACAGGAUUGAGA
rnacentral:rRNA from 1 species